AAAACAACAAAAAAAGGAUCCUUAGGGCUGCCAACUUUAUAGUAGAAGUUGAGGUGGUAGUGGAUUUCUCCUACACAA
rnacentral:snoRNA from 1 species